AAGAUGGAAUCCAGCAUCAGUUCAUCGAGUGAGGAGCAAAUUCGCAGAAUGAAUGAAAACAGCCAUGUCCAAGUGCCUUUCCAGCAGCUCAACCAACUUGCUGCCUACCCCUAUGCUGUUUGGUACUAUCCACAAAUCAUGCAGUAUGUUCCUUUCCCACCGUUUUCCGACAUCUCCAAUCCCACUGCUCAUGAAAAUUAUGAAAAAAAUAACGUCAUGCUACAGUGGUGAUAUGAUUGAAAAUUUCAUUCUCUGAAUUUCUCCUCUCAAGGAAAACCAUCUUAUCUGAAGACUGGACUGUUGUUUUAGAAUAGUAAAAUCCCAUAUUGAAGGAAAUUGUUCUUUUUGAGUUAUCUACUUAAUAGCAUAUCAUUCUUUUUCUUAAGCUAAAUUUUCCUAGAGAGUUUAUUGUCUAAAUUUCAGUUGUGUCUUGCCAUAUGGAGGGCACCUAAUCAGAGGGUAUUAAAGUGUUUACUAAGUUUUCUAGUGGACAUUUUGUUUAAAAAGUCUUUGAAUUGCCAGUUCUGUAAGUGCCAUCAAUUAAAAUAGUUUUGUGCAGUGACAGAGAUUUUCUUUUUUCUUUUCAAUAAAUUACA
rnacentral:lncRNA from 1 species